GUUUUUAUAAUUUAAAUAUAAAAUAUUGGUCUUGUAAACCAAAAAUAAAAAAAUUCUUUAAAAACU
rnacentral:tRNA from 1 species